CGAGCGCAUGAGUGGUGCUGGACCUGUGACUACCGGUAGAUCCCCCGUUGUUGUGCGGCYGACUACCGGUGCCAGUGUCCUAUCAAUUGUUGGCUAUUGUGGGAAUCGUUUUGACGAGUGCUUGCAUGCUGCUACCAGUAGCACUGGAAGUUGCAUUUCUAAAUGUUGGUUUUGACGUGCAAGCCCCUAGGGCAUGACACGUAAACUAUUAAGCGUUCAUGGCGUUGCCUCGUGCAGCAGGCCUCAUAGGCUAGCGGCAUCAAGGCCAUCUCACGGUCGCUAUUGGUCUCGGAUGUGGCUAACUCUAAAGGCUGAAGGUGCGUUUGGCACCUCAUGCCUAGAAGAUAUUGUCCGAGUUGGAAACAACGACAGUUGGCCUGGCAGAUGCCUCGUGCGGAAGCUAGUGCU
rnacentral:misc_RNA from 1 species